UACGUAGGACCCAAGCGUUAUCCGGAAUUACUGGGCGUAAAGCGUACGCAGGCGGUUUAUUAAGUGGGAUGCGAAAUCUGAUGGCUCAACCAUCUAGACUGUAUCCCAGACUGAUAGACUAGAGGAUGGCAGAGGCAAGUGGAAUUCCUGGUGUAGGAGUGAAAUCCGCAGAUAUCAGGAGGAACACCAAUGGCGAAGGCAGCUUGCUGGGCCAUUCCUGACGCUCAGGUACGAAAGCGUGGGGAGCGAACGGG
rnacentral:misc_RNA from 1 species